rnacentral:rRNA from 1 species
ACGGGAGGCGCAGUGGGGAAUAUUGCACAAUGGGGGAAACCCUGAUGCAGCGACGCCGCGUGGGUGAAGAAGUAUUUCGGUAUGUAAAGCUCUAUCAGCAAGGAAGAAAAUGACGGUACUUGACUAAGAAGCCCCGGCUAACUACGUGCCAGCAGCCGCGGUAAUACGUAGGGGGCAAGCGUUAUCCGGAUUUACUGGGUGUAAAGGGAGCGUAGACGGUAAGGCAAGUCUGAAGUGAAAUGCAGGGGCUCAACCCCUGAACUGCUUUGGAAACUGUCAAACUAGAGUGCAGGAGAGGUAAGUGGAAUUCCUAGUGUAGCGGUGAAAUGCGUAGAUAUUAGGAGGAACACCAGUGGCGAAGGCGGCUUACUGGACUGUAACUGACGUUGAGGCUCGAAAGCGUGGGGAGCAAGCAGGAUUAGAUACCCUGGUA